rnacentral:lncRNA from 1 species
ACAACUGGAAGAUGAAGUGUUAUUGUUUAUACGCAACCACGGAGUAUAAGGACUCAUUAUAAUCCGUAUACGCAGCUUGUUAUACUUCAUUGCUUGCAUAAAUCGGUGGUAAAUUGAAAUAUGCAACAUUCACAUGAAAAUUCUGUGUCACAAAAUGUGGUAAAUGCAGAAUGUUGCCCUAUGGUACCAGUUCUUAUCAAGAACCAAUUGAAAUCAUGGGUUCAUGCACCACUAACAGUCAAUGAUUUAGUUAAAAAAUGUGAAAACCCUGAAUUAACGUUUCGUGUUUCUCCCAAAUCUUCUGAUGCCAAACAAGCAAGCAAAAUAGGAAGAAUGAAAAAGAAAAGCCUCUAAAACAAUGAGAUGGAGUCCUGUGGAAAUUUUGUAAAUAUAACGCUGAUUUUUGUUGUUUGUCUUCUGAAUUAGUAUUUAUUCGGCAUGUUAUUGUGUCUUAACAAUGAGAUAUAUAUUUCUAUGUGACCAAAAAUAAAAACAUAAGUAUUCA